UCCCUGCGUUCUUGUUCGUCUCGCUCUGGAUCAGCCUGGGUUCUAAAGAAAAGAGCCUCAGAGCUAAGGCCUGUAAUGUCUUUGGUGAAACUAGAGGGGGGAAAAUGGUGAAACAUGUUUUAUUUUUUCCUCAAAACAUGGAGAAACGGAUUAUUUUUAAGCCAUUUUAAGAAUAUAUAGACUUUUUUGCGAUUUCGUUGGGCGACUUUUCGGAUCUGUGGGACCUAACCGCAAGCCUCGGACUCAAGUAGGAAGGGUGGCCUGCUGUCGGGAGUGGAUUUUCCGCAUGCCCCAUGGGAAAUUCCGGGCGAAGCCUCGACUGUUCAUUUCACGCUUAUUUUUUGACAUGACUUUAUGACUUUAACAAAUACGUACCGCGAAAGGGAUUUCUUUCAUACGGUACUGUUGGAUUGUGAUUAAGUUUUUAAUAUUUUUGUAAAAAUGACCAAAUGUGUUGUAGGCCACGUUUGGAAAAGCAGUAGUGUUGACGGUAGAGGUCUGACUUUUUAUUUGUCGUAGCUAUUUAUUUGCCUAAGUAUUAUGUAAUGUUGACUAACAUGUAUGAUGGAUAAUGUAUUUAUUUCUUUUUUCUCUGGCUUUAUUUUUUAACGAGUGGUCAUUCUAGCUGAAAGUAGUACGCCUUAUCACGACAAUGUAUCAGCUAAACACCCUCUAUGUUUGUUGAAUCUCAAAUAUAGAUUGUAUUAUUAUUAUUAUUAUUAUUAUGUAUAGCGUAUUUUGAAGUUAUGUUCGCUACCAGGGCCACGGUUUACGUUAGUUAACGAGGUCUGACGAUUUAGGCUAGUAUUAAACGUUGUGUUACAACUUAUUUAACUAACCCGCUGCUAAUGUGAGAUGGUUAUUCUUAAUUUUAAAGUCGAUUCGGUUAGAUUAAAGUGGGUGAAAACGUCGUUUUUUUAAUGAUAUAUUUAUUUUAUUUUUCUGAUGCUACACUAGCUUGCCGCGCUCAACAUGGCGGMGCUCGGGAGAUACGCUUCUUGUUGUGAACGAGGAAAGAUGGAGUCUGGAAUAUUCUCUUAGGCGACUUUAAGAAACAAACGGGCUCAUAUUCGUAAACAAUAUCAAACUAACGGGGUAGAAAAUGAACAGCUGUCUGGGUCGACAGUAUAACUUCGUAUCGUUACAGUGGUUCGGUUAAUAAACGKCGAAUCUGCGCGGAAGUCUGCUUCGCAAAAUCGAGUUCUCUUCCAGUCGAGCUGUAGCCAUUUUGUUAGCUUAUCUACGCGCUUUGGUCUGUUUUUCUGAAAAUUAUGGCCGCUGUUUGGSACAAUAUUUUAUUAUAAACUGCUCUAUGUGUAGUUGUUAUUAUUAGAAGGACGUCGUGAUUUAUUACAGAGUCGUUAUUAAAGUGUAAGUAAUAUAUAUUUCAAAUCACAAGUCUAUUGUGCAACAAUAUAAAAGAACCAAGCAGCGUUUAUCUGUAGCUCUGUUCACCUGAGCAAAGCUGUAAACUGGUCAAGGUCCCUGAAGAAAAGCAUCAGUGAAGCUCAGAGGUCAGAUAGAAAGCACAUCUUCACUGUCCAUAGGUAUUCAGAUCAUAUUCUGUGUAGUUAUCAUAAAGAGUUGUGUGUCUGACAGCUCAGAGAGAAAACGUGACAGUAAAUCACUUUGUUCACCAUGUGCCAAACCAUGAGCAUACAAAGGAUUCCUUUUAUUGACCAGUUGGCUCCCUCCACUGGUUCAGAGUGAGCACGACCACCGCUGCAAAGAGAUAUUGCACAACCACAUGUUCAUGGACCGAAGCUCCCCGGGAGGCUGUCAGGACGCGCUCCCUCUACCGCUUCCGGGAAGUCGGUGCAGAAGCGACACAGUGGUGUCAGGUUUGUAGCCAGGGGGACCGUUAGUGCAGCUGUCAACAGCUGUAAAAAUGUCUGCGCUGCCUUAAAGCACCACACAGUGUCAGAUUAUAGUUUAUACAAAAACGUUAUGUAAUWAACAUGGCAACAUUAGCUAGGCUAAGACAGAAAUAACAAUUCAUGUUUUACUAAAUUAUAGAAAAUAACUUUCAGUUGAUGCCCUUGAAUAAGUAAAAAACUUAAAUA